GAUGAACGCUGGCGGCGUGCCUAAUACAUGCAAGUCGAGCGAACAGACGAGGAGCUUGCUCCUCUGAUGUUAGCGGCGGACGGGUGAGUAACACGUGGAUAACCUACCUAUAAGACUGGGAUAACUUCGGGAAACCGGAGCUAAUACCGGAUAACAUGUUGAACCGCAUGGUUCAACAGUGAAAGACGGUCUUGCUGUCACUUAUAGAUGGAUCCGCGCCGAAUUAGCUAGUUGGUAAGGUAACGGCUUACCAAGGCAACGAUGCGUAGCCGACCUGAGAGGGUGAUCGGCCACACUGGAACUGAGACACGGUCCAGACUCCUACGGGAGGCAGCAGUAGGGAAUCUUCCGAAAUGGGCGAAAGCCUGACGGAGCAACGCCGCGUGAGUGAAGAAGGUCUUCGGAUCGUAAAACUCUGUUAUUAGGGAAGAACAAAUGUGUAAGUAACUAUGCACGUCUUGACGGUACCUAAUCAGAAAGCCACGGCUAACUACGUG
rnacentral:rRNA from 1 species